CGUUUAAAGAGUGCGUAACAGCUCACCAGUCGAGCACGAAGGUGCCGAAAAUAAUCGGGGCUUAAGCGUUAUACCGAAGCUUUGGCUGCUAUCACACCUGCGGGUGUGGUGGCGGGGUAGGGGAGCGUUGUAUGCGGAGCGAAGGUACACGGCAACGAGUACUGGACUGCAUACAAGUGAUUAUGCAGGAAUGAGUAACGAUCAAAAAGGUGAGAAUCCUUUUCGCCGUAAACCUAAGGUUUCCUCCGCUAGGUAAGUCCGCGGAGGGUUAGGCGGGACCUAAGACGAGGCCGAUAGGCGUAGUCGAUGGACAGCCGGUUCAUAUUCCGGCCCCUCUCAUGGGGUGCCCACGGAGAACACAGGAGACUAACACGGAGGGAUGCCAAGUAAGCCCUCGGCGUGAUGGUGAUUGCUGCAUUGAAAGAUGCGGUGCGUUCGCCAUUACGAUCAAACGCCUUGAGCGAUAUGAGCGUGUGAUGUCACCCUGUCGAGAAAAGCCCGUCGGGAGAUAAUGUCAUGAGAGACCGUACUAAAACUGACACAGGUAGGUGAGGAGAGUAUCCUCAGGUGCUCGAGAGAACUCUGGUUAAGGAACUCGGCAAAUUCACUCCGUACGUUCGCAAGAAGGAGUGCCAGCUUUCUUGAAAGGGAAGGCUGGCCGCAGUGAAGAGGCCCAACCGACUGUUUACUAAAAACACAGUUCUGUGCUAACUCGAAAGAGGAUGUAUACGGAAUGAUGCCUGCCCGGUGCUCGAAGGUCACAUGGAGCGGUUAGCGUAAGCGAAGCUGCGAAAUCAAGCCCGAGUAAACGGCGGCCGUAACUAUGACGGUCCUAAGGUAGCGAAAUUCCUUGUCGGGUAAGUUCCGACCUGCAUGAAAGGCAUAACGAGUUGGGCACUGUCUCAACCAGAGACUCGGUGAAAUUGCAAUAUGGGCGAAGAUACCCAUUACCCGCAGCAGGACGAAAAGACCCCGUGAACCUUUACUGCAGCUUGAUACUGUGUUUCUGUGACGCAUGCGUAGGAUAGGUGGGACGCUUUGAUUUCCUGGUUCCGGCUAGGGAUGAGCGGUCGGUGAAAUACCACUCUUGCGUUAUGGGAAUUCUAACCUGGCCUUUGUACGGCUGGGAACACUGUCAGGCGGGCAGUUUGGCUGGGGCGGCUUCCUCCCAAAGAGUAACGGAGGAGCACAAAGGUCAGCUCAGUACGGUUGGCAAUCGUACGUGGAGUGCAAGAGCAUAAGCUGGCUUAACUGCGAGACCCAUAAGUCGAGCAGACGCGAAAGCGGGUUCUAGUGAUCCGGUGGUUCCAGAUGGACGGGCCAUCGCUCAACAGAUAAAAGGUACUCCGGGGAUAACAGGCUGAUUUCGCCCAAGAGUCCCUAUCGACGGCGAAGUUUGGCACCUCGAUGUCGGCUCAUCUCAUCCUGGGGCUGGAGAAGGUCCCAAGGGUAUGGCUGUUCGCCAUUUAAAGAGGUACGCGAGCUGGGUUUAAACCGUCGUGAGACAGGUUGGUCUCUAUCCGCUGUGGGCGCUGGACGAUUGAAGAGACUUAACAUUAGUACGAGAGGAUUAUGUUGAACACCGCUCUGGUGUACCGGUUGUCACGCUCGUGGCAGUGCCGGGUAGCUACCGGUGGACGGGAUAAACGCUGAAAGCAUCUAAGCGUGAAGCCCACUCCAAGAUGAAUCGUCCCUACGAAUGCCGUUGAAGACUACAACGUUGAUAGGUUGGGGGUGUAAGUGCGUAUAUCCAAAGGCACUAAGCUGACCAAUACUAAUCGCAUCAUUGGCUUGAUC
rnacentral:rRNA from 1 species